rnacentral:rRNA from 1 species
GAUGAGCGCUAGCUACAGGCUUAACACAUGCAAGUCGAGGGGCAGCAUUUUUAUAGCAAUAUAAAAGAUGGCGACCGGCGCACGGGUGAGUAACACGUAUCCAACCUGCCGAUAACUCGGGGAUAACCCUUCGAAAGAAGGCCUAAUACCCGAUGGCAUAUCCCUUCCGCCUGGUGGGGAUAUUAAAGAACUUCGGUUAUCGAUGGGGAUGCGUUCCAUUAGUUUGUUGGCGGGUAACGGCCCACCAAGACUACGAUGGAUAGGGGUUCUGAGAGGAAGGU